AUUGAACGCUGGCGGCAUGCCUUACACAUGCAAGUCGAACGGACUCUUCGGAGUUAGUGGCGGACGGGUGAGUAACACGUGGGAACGUGCCUUUAGGUUCGGAAUAACCCAGGGAAACUUGUGCUAAUACCGAAUGUGCCCUUCGGGGGAAAGAUUUAUCGCCUUUAGAGCGGCCCGCGUCUGAUUAGCUAGUUGGUGAGGUAAAGGCUCACCAAGGCGACGAUCAGUAGCUGGUCUGAGAGGAUGAUCAGCCACAUUGGGACUGAGACACGGCCCAAACUCCUACGGGAGGCAGCAGUGGGGAAUCUUGCGCAAUGGGCGAAAGCCUGACGCAGCCAUGCCGCGUGAAUGAUGAAGGUCUUAGGAUUGUAAAAUUCUUUCACCGGGGACGAUAAUGACGGUACCCGGAGAAGAAGCCCCGGCUAACUUCGUGCCAGCCGCCGCAGUAA
rnacentral:rRNA from 1 species